rnacentral:rRNA from 1 species
AACGAACGCUGGCGGCAUGCCUAACACAUGCAAGUCGAACGAAACCUUCGGGGCUAGUGGCGCACGGGUGCGUAACGCGUGGGAACCUGCCCUUAGGUUCGGGAUAACUCCCCGAAAGGGGUGCUAAUACCGGAUAAUGUCUUCGGACCAAAGAUUUCUCGCUUUUGGAUGGGCCCGGGUUGGAUUACCUAGUUGGUAGGGUAAAAGCCUACCAAGGCGACGAUCCAUAGCGGGUCUGAGAGGAUGAUCGGCCACACUGGAGCUGAGACACGGCCCAGACUCCGACGGGAGGCAGCAGUGGAGAAUAUUCGAAAAUGGGAGACAUCCUGAUCCAGCACUGCGGCGUGAGUGAUGAAGGCCGUAGGGUUGUAAAGCUCUUUUACCCGGGAUGAUAAUGACGGUACCGGGAGAAUAAGCACCGGUUAACUCCGUG